AUCUUUGUUUAGAAAUAAAACUCGUUGAGUGAUUGGGAAUAUCAAAGUGUGAUUAAAAAGGAAAAGCAGAAGAAAUCUGUCAGGAGGUAAAAUCUUUUUUCAUAACAUUGUAAGAUGUUUUUUUCCAUUUUGUUUAUAGGACUUAAGAGUGAGGAUAAAAAUAUUUCUAAACGUGUUUCUUGCCUCCCAAAGCCAUCAUUGCACUCUUUUUGUACAAACUAAAGAUGAGUCGACGCUGACCCGACACCUCCGCACCCUGCUCUGACAGUCACCAACGACUAAAGAUCUUCUAACCGCAGUCAAACUCUUUAACUCACAAAGCUGCUGUUUUGUCUCCCAUCUUUCACGCCAUAAAGGGAGCACACGGGGACAGACGGGCACCUGCGCAUGCUGCCCCUCCACCUGUGAAUAUUAAUUUUGCAAGCUAACCGCAAAAUCAGCCGCUGUUGUGGGCUGCGAGAUGAGAAGGAGGAGGAAGGAGGGAAAAAACACUUCUCUCUAAGCAAGGGCUUUUAAUUUUUAAAGAACAGGAGCACACAAGGGCUUUUUAUGCUCAGCACUGCAGCAAUGUCACUUUUAGGGGUGUAAUCUUGGAGGGAGAAGUGGAAAAAGCAAAAGACAUUUGCACAGAAACAACUGUUUUAAAACCAGCUGAAUAGCUUAGUGGUAAUAUAACAUGCUUUGAGCAAAAGAGAGGUAGAAGACAUUGCUCUUCCACCCAGCUUUUCUUCUUCUUUUUUUUUCAGUAGCUAGAGAAGAUAAAUACUGCCUUAAAGAAAUAUAGGAUAAUUCUAAGUUAUUGGAGUUAAGAUUCAGCGUACUAGCUAACUGCUCAGAAACAGUGCCAAAUAUUAGUCAAAAUGUCUCCCGUGUGUCAUGGCGUCCGGGUUAGCUUUAGGUCAUAGAGUCACUGCUGUAUAUAACCGUUUUCUGUGUAGGAUUUACAGACUCAGCAGUCGUAGCUAUGUAGCUCAGCAUAACGAGGGGCCCCUUAGAUCCUUAGGGUCUGCUAGGCGCCACGUUUAGUACUGCCAUCCAUGAGCCAUGUCAGCAUCGACCAUUCAAACCCAUGCAUGCCCAUAUCCAUUCGCUUCCAGUGCUUAUAGUUGCUGUAUCUUAAAUCGGGCCUCAAACAGCACCCUGACCUCUGCACCCGAUCGGGACGCUCGGUUGGUACAUUAAGGACGCUUCGCCCAAGGCCUAAUCUCUGCAGAUGUUUACCCCGACGGAGCGCAGGGGGCUCUUUGAGACUCUCUUCCUGCCACCAUUCAGCUUUGAUACUCUGAUAUCAACAAGUAAUUGUAUUAUUAGUAAAGAAUUAUUCUAAAGGUGCCACUGUGCAGAGGAGAACCAACUCUGUCACACUAUAUACUUAUAAUGAAUAUAUUCGUUUGAGGGGAGCGGGGUUGGUUAUGCGGUGCAGAGUUGGGAAGCAGGAGUCGUAGUCUUUCUAUUAUAUUAUUCUAUAGUUUCCUUUUCUACUUUGUCGUGAUUGUGAGGUUUUGUUGUUUCAAUCACAUCGGACACCUCCGACGGGAGAGACGAGCGAGGAGCCGACGGACUGCUUGUGGACAUUGACCUCACCUCACUGGUGCCAGAGACUACGUUACCCAGCAAGACUUGCAGCACUGCAGUACACACAGACACUAACACGCAAACUUUACCUUCCUGCGCCUACAAGUUCCUGUACUUCUGAGGAAAAUAUAUCCAUUCUAAAGCAAGAUGUUUAAAGCAGAAGGAAGUGAAACAGGAUACUAAGCCUGUCAAGCUAUAUGAUGAUAAGUAAACAUAUUGAAAAUGUUUAGCAUUUACAUUUGAGUCUCUUCUUAGUGCUUUAUUUGACACUGUGGCAAACGUAGAAACGAUUUUGCAGGAAAGCUGGCUUAAUUCAUUUGUGUUUCCAGAAUCAAGCUAAAACAUGAUGAGUUGAGGCAUGCCCGUCACUUUAUUUUGAUGGUAGAAAAGCAAGAUCCUACAAACAACUUCCCUUCGCCUGAGGUCUGGCUUAAACUGCCAGAGUCCUGUAUAAGGGGAAACGCCAACAAUCUACGAAACAGCGCCCAGCAAUCCUUUUUUAACCUCGGCUAGUAUCCUCAUCCGACAACUGACAGAACACAGCAAUGUGCUUGGAAAGGCGUAAUAUGGUUUAAAAGUGAAAAUAUCCCGCUAACCAAUGGGACACCCCCUAAAAAAGACAAUACGUCAUCCAUUAUCACCAAAGCUUUAUACACAAACCUACAUUUUUGUUAGUUUUAAUAUGCUAUGUGUGAGUAUUAGCGUGUUACCGGUGUUACCUAUUGCUGCACAUCACCAGUAAGCUGGGAGAUAGAUGGCUACUACACUUUUCCCUUGCUUACAAGAAAGAUACAUUCAAAUUGUUGGGAAAAAAUAUUUCUGUUAAAGUCAAUGACAAUCUCACACUGGCCAAUCCUUCACCUGGUAGCUACUUCUUUGUCUUGCAACGGUCAUCAGCAUUCAACUGCGUUUCCAGUAGGUUCCUCUUAAGGUUGAUGAUUACGCCAAAUGUAAAACUAGACAUGUGAGCCUGUAGUCCACAUAAAAACAAUUUCUCUUAAAAAGUGUGAACAUUUUAUGAAUGAAGGAUCAGACAGCUCUCUAACAGCUCAAAAAAUAUUACUAAAACCAAAGGGCACAGGCAAUGUGUUGAAAUAUUUGUCCUCAUUAGUACAGAAACAGAACCACACAAGAAUAAAUACACAUAUGUGAUCACAACUGCAUACACACAGACAUUCCUCCAUGAAGAGACAUGCACAGACACCCACACUGAGACAGCACCCACUCUAGCUUUGCCCAGUGCGGUGCAGGAAAGAUGUGUGUACUGCUCUAUGAGAAAUCACUGUGUCAUGUUUAGUGUUUCUUUGGGAGAAAAACAACAAACUGUUCCCGACGAGUUGCUGUUGCGUCGACCCGAUAGGUGGAGCGUUGAGUAAACUGAGCCAGCUAAUCACACAUGGACAACCAGAUGAACUGAAAUGUGAAUUCAACGGUGUAGUUCUGAGACAAAAAGACUCGCUAUGCGCACUCUACAACCAACAUUCACUACCAGCACACACUCUCACAAACACUGACACGAAUAUGGUAACGGUGUGAGGAGGGCUUACAGGUGGAUUUAUGUGCCUGCAUGUUUGUGUAUGCAUGUUUCGGUGGGGGUGUACGUGUGUGUGUGUUGGUGUUUAUGUGUGUGUACGUGUGGAGUUAGCCUCUCCUCACCCAUGCACCCAGUGCCUGCCUAUCCUGCCUUCAAACAGCUACGACAUCAGCUCCGGGGCUUCCAGGAUAACUGUUUUCUGCAUUCCCAUGACACAGUAUGGUUACACUGGUUCAGAGCUAAAUGCCCCACUCAUUCCUAGGCAGUCGUAGCCAUAAAAGUUGAUUAGGCUGCUUUGAUUUUAGUGAGUUCUGGUGGACUGAGUUCUUGUUUUACCCUCUGGAUUUGACGGGACUUCGUAGUAGCAGCCUUCUUCUCAGACCUGACCGUGUUUUUUUCUUGAAAAUUUCAGUCUGUCUGUUCAAUUGCAUUAAAGUACAGCAGAAAGAUCCUCGCAGGAAAGGGAAAAGUCUGAUGACUGUCAAUGUUCCUAAAACUUAGGUUCAAAAGGAGCAGUGUAGCUUUUACAAAUCUUGUAGAAUAAUAUACAAAAACUUUACCCUCUCAUAUUUGCUGACCUCAGUGGAUUAUCGACACAAAGUCAAGUGUGUUUGCAGGGCCGCUCCAUGUUACUUAUUUUGUUUCUGGUGUUAAAAGACGCCGUGUCUUGGUACUGUAGUUGAGAGGGAGAUGCUUGUCUUUGAUUUUUGAAAAUAAUGUAGCUCUAUCGUCGUGAGGGAUAAGAAAUAUGGCAAUAGGUAGCAAGGUUGCAGUAGUUUCUGCAUUGCUCAUGGCUAUCAUGAAGAAGCAAGCUGAAUGCCAAAGCUGUUGAUUUACUGGUCCGUCCAUGUUCCAACUCUUGGCCAUUGUCACUAAAUAGAGAUCAAGAUUCUCAAGAUCCCAUAUUCUGCCACCUGAAAUGAGCUGUGCGGUGGCUGCACUCAACCUUAGCGAUGCAAAACAAACACUAAUUGAUAGAUAGAAGCUUAUAGUAUCAAAUUAGAACAACCUGGUUUAACUUACAUUAACCAACAGUAACCAAAACUACUCCCCAGAAAAAACAAACACCUUCCUGCUUAAGGAAUUUUAACAAUUUUAUGUGAUGGAUUUACCUGUCAUACGAUUUCAAGAUAUUUUAGCUUUUUCUACAGUUAUAGGAAUUAAAAUUUUUGGAGACGUCAGUCCCCAAUAAUACAGCAGCCAAUAUUUAAAAAUGUAUCCUGGUCGUGUUGAUUGAAAGCUUGUAUUUAUAUUUCCUUGCUAAUUUUUAGUUCAUCAGCUAACAGAUUCCCUCUCUGCUGUAGUUACGCUGCUUUGACCUAAUACAUUUAUUACAGUAAAUGAAAUGCCGAUGAAACUAUUAAUUUGAUAAUUCUGUUGAAUUUUAAUUUAGUAAAAUUCAAAAAUGAAAUGUCUUGCAGAGUUUUGUAUUUGUUUAUUUAGUGGCCAGACACACACAGUUCUUACAAAGAAAUAACAAUAUAGACUCCAGAGUUCUAGGUUUCUAACAUGUGGCAUAUACAGUUUAGCUAAUUUUAGUGGUUGCAGUUCUAAUGAUGCAAAUUAUUCAGAAAUAUUUUUAGUACUACCUCAGCUGGAUUUCCAAGUUCGCCAAGCUUGCGAUAUGAAAAUUUAAUCUCUGAGAUAUGACAGGUCAAAAAGAUUUACUACUACUAGGCGCUAACAUGUUUACCUUGCUGUGUGUAGCCAUGUCAAAGUCCAGCAAAUUAUAAGGAAUAUCACAGACAUAGUUACCUGUGAUUGAUGUUUCAUAAGCCUGUUCAAUAACGGUUACGGUUGCACAGCUCUGUCUGUAAUAUCCGAUAAGAGCUAACUUUGAGUUUAGCUAGCACUGCGCGCGUGGAAUAAACCCACUAGCGAUAGCCUUAAGGGGCUGCGCCUAUGGAGCUUUGGAACCAACGUCACUGCGUAUGACAUUUACGUCUCGCGCAGUCGCUCGCCGCCAUCUUUAAAGGCCACAGACCAAAAGAAACUUUAUUUUAUUCCGGCGUGUUACCAGGCGCAGUGAAGUUGUUUUCAAGUUGGAUGUUGGAUAUCCGCGCUCCGCCAACGCUUAUGAGCGCUAAUUCCGGCCAGCUGUUCUCUACCGCUCCCUCCUCAAGCGCUCGGAGGUUCACUUGUUGACCGUCAAUUUCCGAACCAAACACUCCUGUAAAUAAAUGCCUUGUGACCAACUGAUACAAAAAAGUGGUAAUUCAUGCUAUUACACGAGGCACACUUUCCUCUAUUAAAAUGUUAAGUCAUAUUCAAUAUUUUAAAUAAUUGUAAUAUUAAAUGUUUUCUUCAAUAGCUUCCAAAUUGUGUGCCCCAUUAACUCAAAAUCAGUGUGAAAUUGUUCUACUAGACUGUAUAGAUGAAACACUCUCAUCUUUAUUACAUUUUGACCCCCUUUUUUUAUCUUUUUACUAAUUUUAUAUUUAAAAAAUGUUCUUAAAAUAUAUUACCUCAGAUGAUCAUCACAUUUGUUACCUGUAAUGUUCAAUCACAUAAAAUUCUAGGACAGGAUCUAUUUCAUUACAUGUUCACUUUUUAAAUUCUUAUAUAUAUCAAAUAUUUACUUAAAGUGUGAUCUAUUUCAUUAAAUUUACUUGUCACCUUUAUUGUUUACUCUGAACUGUUUAAUUACACAUUAAACAUUUAAAGAUAGGCUCUUCCAUCUGGUUUGAUUGUUUAUAUUAAAUGUUUACUGCAAAAUGUCUGAUUAUAUAAUUGUUUACUUUAAUCACACAAAAUGUCUAUUUAAAAAUAUAAUCUUUCAUUACAUGUAUGUUUAUUACCUGCAAUAUUCUAAAUAUCAAAUUUUCACUUAAAAUGUGAUUCAUCUCAUCUGUGUACAUGUAACUUGAAGUGCUUGAAUCAAACGUUUCAUGAAUGUUUAUCACGUUAAAUUAUUUAAUGAGAGAAAACAGCCACUUCCAACUGUACACACAUUUCAACACAAAUGGUUAAUGUUCCUCUUCAGAGUGUGCAGCCUUGCUGAGCUCCUCUCCUGGGGUUUCCUCCUCAGCCUCUAAAACUUGCUCCUCUUCUACAGCCUCCGCUACUGUUUUAUUUACCUCUUAAGGGGUAAAUAAUGAAAACACAGUCUCUGUAACUUGCUCCCCCACUUGUUGAUCCAUCAUGGUCUUGCUCGCCUCUUUAAUUGACGCGCAUGUCGGACCGAUGUUGUGGCGUUUACCUCGCAGUGACCCAGAUUCAGUCUGGAUUGAGCUAAUCCAUUUCAUACGUCGGUUUGCCUUGAAGUUGACAUAUCAGAACACACAACAGUAUUAAUACUGUAAAUUUGAUAACACUAGUAAAAUAGUUUACUUCACAAUAAUGGAAUAACCUCAAUGUCCACUGACAAAACUCAGACUAUGCUACAUAAAAAAUAUAAGCCCGACUUAAACAAGGUUGACCCACUUCAAUGAACUCAACGUAACUGAACAUGAGUACACCCGGACAAAAUCAUAGCAAAAAAAUUAUGACACAACACCAACAAAGCGAUUUUAGACGCUCACCAGAAUUGACAUGUCUGGAGCAAACUUGUAGAUAUCUUGGGAUGUUGGAGAACAUAAUAUCAGGGCGUCUCACCGCUGAUACCCGGGACAUUCGUCUCCUUUUCAUUAGCUCCGAUAGCUUAGCCUCCUUGCCUUGUUUUACAGGCAGGAAAACAGUGAAACGAAAGUCCGUUUUCCAUCUUUUUACCGUUUCGGUCGUGUGAUCGGACAUUACCUCCAACGACGCAGCAAGUUCGUACCAUUGAUAAAUUAUUUUAAGUAACUUAGAUUCGAAAUGUCUGUGAGACAGUCUUUUGUCGGUUAUGUUUAUGGCCCUUCAAGAUGGCGCUCAUAACCCUACGUCUAGAGCAGUGACGUCACGUUCCAAAGCUCUAUACUCAUAGAAUCUGGGGUUACAAUAUAUGUAACCAACGUUUUCCGCUUUACCUUUAAGGCAAAAAUUGUGUAAAUCAGUGUGACAUAAAUAUGCGGCAAUCAAUUUGCCUCUGACAUGGAAAAUUAGGAUGCUUAGUGGGACUUUUAGCAACCCAAGAUUCUAACAAUGGAUUUAUCUUCUUUUUUUAUUAAUAUUUUGUUUUCAUUCAAACAAAAGGUAACACUUUAUUUGACAGGGUGUGCAUAAGACUGACUGUCAUAAACAUGACAUAACACCUGCCAUGAACAUGAAGGAGUCUUUAUGAAUGUCUAUGAGUGUUAUCAUGAAGCCUCAUUCUGUACAUAAUGACACUCUCAAUGCAAAGUUGCUUUACAAGUUGCAUUAAAAGUCCAUUAGAAGUGCCGACUUUGUAUUAUUUGUAAAUAAUGACACUUUAAUGCAAAGUUGGCACUUUUAAUGGACUUUCAAUGCAACUUUUAGAGCAACCUUGCAUUAAAAGUGUCAUUAUUUACCUAAUAACAUUUAUGACAACAAUCAUAGACAUUCAUAAAGACUUCUUCAUGGUCAUAACAGGUGUUAUGUCAUGUUUAUGACAGUGUCAUAUCAGUAUUAUGCACACCCCGUUAAGUAAAGUUCUACCAAACUAAAUAGAAGUAUGCUGGUAAAUAGAAGUUUUACAGUACUAUAUGUGCUAUUGGCUUACUGAGAUACAAACAAAUAUGUGACAAAAUCCUACUCCUAGAACCAUGUUUAUGCCCAUGUUGGGUUGUGAAUCUGGUGGCUGUUAGUUGUCCUCUAACUUUCCAGAUUGGAAUUACAAUUUAAGGUGCCGUUUUUUGGGUUAUUUCCAACUAGGAACUCAGAAAAUUCCACUUCUGGGCACAUAGAGAACAGUCAACACACCAAAAUUGUGAAUGUUGUGAAUAACUAAUGCCACCCAUGUUGAGACGGUACUUUCAACUGUAAAUAUGGAUGGAGUUAAACAAUACAUUCCCAGGUGUAGGAUCAAACAUUUUGACAGCUCAUUGGUCACAAGUAGCAAAGGGAAAGAUGCUUAUUGUUUGGUUGAGACAUGAAAUCAAGCUUUUAGAAGUCACAACGCAAACACAUGACUGGUAUUUUAAAGCACUAUCUUUGACGUAAACGUUGGUUUCUGGUUGUGGAAGAAAGAACACUAUCCCAGUUUAUGGGGGUUAAAAUCCUCGCUCUCCAUAAUCUGUUGUAGUACUUGCACUGACUCGAUGACAAAUUAUCUGAAUUAUACCUCUACAGACUUGCCGGGUAUUCCCUGAAAAGUUUGCUGGUUUCUCACAUGUAGCUAACUAAGCAUUAAUAAGAACUUCAGCAUGUCAAAUGGCUAACGACUGUAACCUGACUCUGUCCACCUCAAAAGGACCUGAGGACUGUUAGAAAACAAACGCCAGAGCAAACUCAGGGGAAGGCUCAGUGAAAAUUACAUUAAUUAUUCAACUUGGUUGUUUUUUUGUGAGUACAGGAAAUCACAGUUACUGACUGAAGGCUCUUUGGUAUGAGAUAAAGUGUAGCAUAUUAGUGAGUAGCAUAACUCUUUUGGGUUUUGGUUUGUUUUUUGGUUGUGUUUUUUUUAGAACGAAUGUGUUGGCAGGAAAUGUAGCAGGUGGCUGGAGGAUGAGACAGUUCUCAGAUGAAUGUGAGGAGAAGAAACAGGAAACAACUGUUACUCGUGUUUUCUUUGGGGGGCGGGGGGUCAUUGUGUUUCCUUUAAGCGAAAAUGAAAGCCUCAAGUCGUACGUGCAGCUGAAACCCUGAGUAGCCAUUUUAAAAUGCAUAAGCAAAGGGAACGUAGGUGAGACUUUUUCAAACAUGCGCCAGAAAGCUUGUUGACGGGUGAUAGAUGUCUGGUUGGAUAUUUGGGCAGCUUUUUAUUCCUGCUUCACACCUCUGAGCCCUGAUGAGAAAUAAGUAGCCCUCUGCAAACAUAUAUGAUGCACACACAUGUAUACACAGACAUGCUGGCUCUUACACACACACACACACACAAUACCCCCACACGCCCACACCCCGACACACACAACUCUUAGCCACUUUCACUGUAUACUUUACAAUGUGAACCUCCAACAAACAGCAGUCUGACAUGGACACGUGCUGUAAAAAUAAAAGCACACUUUUACUUACAUUAUAUUAAUAUGAAUACCUAUAUGAAUACAGUAUAAUAAUUAGAAAAUAAAGAAACCUCUUUUCCAAAAUGU